UGUCUGCUGACUGUGAGGUACAGGGUCAAAGUUUACUCAAUGAUGAGUCCGUGGCGAACCGUUCGCGAACUCUUCGGCGAACCGUUCGGGACAUCACUAAUCACUACAUUUAAGUUUUAACAGUUUCCUUUCUAAGUUUCAUGAAGUUCAGGAAUGGGGAAUGGACCCUCACAUAUUCAAUUCAAGAGCUCAGAAAUGUGGUGCCAAAAAGAAAAAAGCUAAACAUUUUUAAUAAUUUGAGCCAAAUGCUCAGGAAUAUUGUGAAAGCUACCUGUCUAAUAUUAGAAGCUAAAUACUUAAAAAACAUGGCGGAUGUUACUUAUGCUUCCUAAAAGAACUUUAUCAGGAUUCAAAUGAAUGCAGGGCAUUCAAGUUUCAUGGUCUGGAUCCGAAAAAGAAAAGUAAAGUUACCGUAGGGUCAGAAUCCUACAAAGACCAGUAAACGGAUACAACAGCACUCGCAAGUAUAGAAUCUGCUAUCGUUUUACCUAGUGUCUGAUAAACAAACAUUAUAUAUGAUAGGAGGCAUUGCUAGGGUCAAAUAAAACCAGGCCAAAAAUAGUUUGGUGGCCCCUUCCUAAAACCCCACCACUGGCCCGUUACCAAACUCCACCCCUUCACACAGCUCUUGACAUAAUCACAUUUACUAACAAACACACUUACACAGACAGACACAUCAGAUAGGAGCAGCGACAACUUCUUGUCAGACAGGGUAGAGGAUAAGAAAACCCUCUACAACAGGCCGCAAGGCUACACUAAUAUGAGGUAAGCAGGCAUGCAAGGGGAGGGGAAGGUAAGAGACAUUCAAAGUGGCUGGAGGGAAGAAAUAGGCACACAGAGGGGUUGGGGGAAGAAAUAGACACAAAUCUAUUGGGCCAAGAAACAGGCACACAAAGGGGCAUGGGAAGUAAGAGACACAAAGGGGCUAGGGGAGUAAGAGUCACACAAUGGUACUGGGGGAAGUAAGAAACAUAUAAGGGGGUUUGUAAGAGACACAAAGGGUGGGCUAAGAUACAAGAUUAAGAGACACACAGGUGAAGGAAUGCAUUUUUUAGGAUGGAACAACCAAAUGUAUCUUUCCCUGUGUAGCCCAAGGACCUUCUCCCGGCCUGCAAAUAACUCGUGUUUUUGGGAAUUGAUACCUCAGCUACAACCAAGCUAUUUACCCACAGAUAGACAUGAUAGACAUCAAGAUACAAUGCACAUGAGUGUCUCAUAUGUUUCCAGAUUCUAUUCUAUUCCCAUUUUUUUAUACUUUUUGUUUGCAUAUCCCUUUUUAUCCUUAGAUUGAUUGAAGGUAGGGCCUCCCUUCCUCAUUUCUUAUACAGUGGAGCUCUCCUGAUGUUGGUUUCCCCUUGUGGGACUCUACACAUCACCUACUCCUAUUACCCACAUAUUUUGGAGGGUUACCCCCUAAUUGGAGCUCCCUAUUAGGUGGUUACAGUGACUUGCAUCCGGACUCCUGACCUGCACUCUGUAUACUUUAUUUCUGUAUUCUAGUAACCCCUUAUUGUCUCAUACUAUUGUAUAAUCUCUUAGCUAUGUCUAGUAUAGGUAACACACCUCUGGGUAUCUGAGCCAUGUAUAGCACACAUGGACAUGAUCCAUAUUCCUAGGUCAGUUGGCAUUUUCCAGUCUAAUAGGGGUUUAUUAACUAAAUUUCGAUUGUGCCGAAUUGAAAUCCGAACUGCAAAAUUGAGGUUAAAACAUCCAAGCAGCGACUAUGAUUACAUGUUGAAGGAUUUCCAGACCAGCUAUUAUGUCUCCGUUUGCCAUUUUUAUUUUAUUUCUGUACAAUUCCGAGUUUAUGCGAUUGUUAUAAGCCGCGCUUCUGGAAAUUGCUUUUUGUUUUUUUAUUUCAGAAGAUCGUGUUUCGCAGUGAAUAUGGUUCGCUUUUAGACACUAUUAAUCAAAAUCAAAAUAAAUGGGACUUAUAUUCUUUUUUUUUUUCAGCAUCAACCACAGUUCUUUUCUGCUUUCCUCAAUUACACCAGGAGAAUACAGUGAGAAUGACUCACUGUCUGGACACUGCGUUAUAUACUUUUUUUCCCUUUGACAAAUUGUUCCAUUAAUUUCCCUGUACAUAUCAGACAAAUUUAGUAACGGAAACUGUAGGCAAAUCUACGUGAACGUGGAACAAACACCACCUAAGUUCUGGUCCUCCUGUUUGUGGAAUAAAUGUAAAGCAUGUGUGGUCAAAAUGCAGAUUCCCAGUGAUUUUUUAACUACUAUUCCCAUGAUGCCUUGUCAGCUUUUAGAAUGGGAGGCAUGGUUCUUCAACAGUUGGGAAUCUACUUUUUUUGUCUGAUCCUGAUCUUAUGGUAUAAGUUGGACAGAAAACUAAGUAUCGCUCCUGAGUAGUGCUUUAACCCUGUAACUUCGCAGUUGACUUCAUUUUUGACCCUCAUCUUUUGUUUCUGCCUAAGAACCGCACCGUCUCCGAGGCUUAUCUGCUGCACUCUAAUAAAUUAUCACCAAAUAUAAAAAUGACUUCUUUUUUUUAUCUCUUAAUGGCUGCCAAGAUUUCUAUCACUCUUGAUCUGGAAUUGUUUUGGAUUCACCAAGCUGGGGGUCUACGGCAAAUGGAAGAAUUAAAAUGAUCCGAUCCCUAUUGGUUAAAAUUCUUUGAUGACAUAAAGAGAAUUCUACUUUGUAUUUUUCAUUCUCUUGCAAUUCCCACCUCCUGUUCUAAGUAGUUAUUUUACAUAUUAGUGUAAAAAGGGGGGGGGGGGAUAAUUACUGUGAGAGCCCAUGUGUCUUGCAUUCCCCUCGUUGCUUUAUUUAUCAAUCCAGCAGUGUAUUCAUUGUUGUUUUGGUUUUAUCCCCUUCCCUAUUUAUUUUACUCAGUUUGUGUUCAUGGGUUUGUUACCUGUAUCCUGAAUUGCGUUCCGUCUUAUCUCGUGGUAUAUUUUUGAUGCGCGUUUUUAUACAAUAUAUAUCGUGUUGAAUCUUCAUAUGCAGUAGUUCUCUGCACAUGCAUAAUGUAUUGCACAUUUAUUUAUUUUGUGUUUUGAACAUGUUUAUUUAGUAUUUUGUGUUCUUU